rnacentral:rRNA from 1 species
AGACGACGCUGGCGGCGUGCCUAACACAUGCAAGUCGAACGGAGAUGAAGAGCUUGCUUUUCAUCUUAGUGGCGGACUGGUGAGUAACGCGUGAGUAAUCUGCCGAUGGGAGAGGGAUAACACAGGGAAACUUGUGCUAAUACCACAUAAAGUACAGUAACGGCAUCGUAGCUGUACCAAAGGAGCAAUCCGCCCGUUGAUGAGCUCGCGUCUGAUUAGAUAGUUGGUGAGGUAAUGGCUCACCAAGUCUGCGAUCAGUAGCCGGACUGAGAGGUCGAACGGCCACAUUGGGACUGAGAUACGGCCCAGACUCCUACGGGAGGCAGCAGUGGGGGAUAUUGCACAAUGGAGGAAACUCUGAUGCAGCAACGCCGCGUGAAGGAAGAAGGCCUUCGGGUUGUAAACUUUUGUCCUUGGUGACGAAAAAAAUGACGGUAGCCAAGGAGGAAGCCACGGCUAACUACGUG